rnacentral:rRNA from 1 species
AUUGAACGCUGGCGGCAGGCCUAACACAUGCAAGUCGAGCGGAUGAAGGGAGCUUGCUCCUGGAUUCAGCGGCGGACGGGUGAGUAAUGCCUAGGAAUCUGCCUGGUCGUGGGGGAUAACGUCCGGAAACGGGCGCUAAUACCGCAUACGUCCUGAGGGAGAAAGUGGGGGAUCUUCGGACCUCACGCUAUCAGAUGAGCCUAGGUCGGAUUAGCUAGUUGGUGGGGUAAAGGCCUACCAAGGCGACGAUCCGUAACUGGUCUGAGAGGAUGAUCAGUCACACUGGAACUGAGACACGGUCCAGACUCCUACGGGAGGCAGCAGUGGGGAAUAUUGGACAAUGGGCGAAAGCCUGAUCCAGCCAUGCCGCGUGUGUGAAGAAGGUCUUCGGAUUGUAAAGCACUUUAAGUUGGGAGGAAGGGCAGUGAGUUAAUACCUUGCUGUUUUGACGUUACCAACAGAAUAAGCACCGGCUAACUUCGUG